GUUGGCUGCAGGAGCAGCUAGCACAGGCCUUGUCUCUGAAGGAGUCUGAGAAGAUGGCGCUGUCAGAGAAGUUGAUGGGUACACGGCACAGCCUGGCCACCAUCUCCCUGGAGAUGGAGCGGCAGAAACCAGAUGCCCAGAGCCGGCAGGAGCAGGACCGGGUAGGCCUGCCGUCGUAGGGAGGCUUGCGGAGCAGGAGCGCCCUCUCUCCACCGAGCUAUCCCGCGGUUUCCAGCAUCCCAUCUGGCGGACUCCUCUUCCUCUCUCUUCUCCUACUCUGGGUCUUCUAUCCUGGUGUUCCUUGAAUGCCUAUCUUCCUUUUGUGCCUCGGAACCUCUCACGCCUGCCACAAGUUACUCUUUUCCUUGGUAGUUCUGAACUUUAAAUAAGGUAAUGCCUGUAAGAAUGCCAUAAAUGCUCAAUAAUUGUCAUCUGUUAUUAUUUUCAUCAGUAACAUCAUCUGAAUCAUCAGUAUUGUCUGCUUUUAACAGCUGCAUUUUUCAUUGUCCAAAUAUAGUCACAUACAUUUGACCAUUUUAUAAUUAUUGAAUAAUAAAUUUGUUCUGCUAUUUUACAAUGAAAAAUAAUGCUGCAGAGAGCAUUUUUGCACAUGUAUCGUGGCAGAUGUAGGCCAGAGGCUCUUCUUUUAUCCAUCCUAUGGCCAACCUAUGAAUGUAUACACGUUUAAUGAGAUUUUGCCAGCAAUCAAAGCCUUCAGGGAAAAUGUCCCUAGCUCUUUACUACAUCAGAUCAAGGACUCUGGAUAAUUGGCAUAACAUCCUGGAAUAGCUGAAACAGAGAUAUUAUUCUCUGCUCUCCUCUGUUGUCUUUGUCUUUUCACGUCUUAAUAAAAGUGCUGGUGACAAGAG
rnacentral:lncRNA from 1 species